rnacentral:lncRNA from 1 species
UUCUUGGGUACUUCAUCUCUAACAGUGCUUAUAUGUUCUCUAAGUUUGCUCUGAUUUCAUGUUGAGUCACCAUGAACCCUAAUAACUCAUCUGAAGCCUCACCAAAAACACAUUUGCUAUGGUUGAGCUUUAUUGAUUCUGGCUCAGCUCACAAAAAAUCUCCCUGAGGUCAACUAUAUGCCGAUCUGUCUCAGUACUUUUGACCAGCAUAUCAUUGAUGUAGAUUUUCAUAUUGCAUCUGAUCUAAUGUUUGAACACUUUGUUGAUAAGGUGUUGCUAUCAAGCAAAUGAAGGACUUUGAGUGGUCGGAUGAAUGCUAAAUUGCAUUCGAAGAGAUUAAGCAAUACCAUAGAUCCCCUUGUUAUUCUUCAAACCAAUAGCAGGUGAGGAGAUAUAUCUAUACUUAUUUGUUUCACAUGUUGCCAUCAGUUCGAUAUU